AUUAAGUGCAUCCAUGAGUUUCCGCGUCCAACUUUGAUCGUCCGUCUUAUUUAAAAUUAUUUAUAAUUAGUAUUUUUGUUGUUAUAAGAUGAUAAAACAUGAAUAGUACUUUACUCGUGACUAUUUUUUUAAAUUUUUUUAAUUUUUUUUAAAUAAGACGAAUGAUUAAAGUUGGACGCGGAAAAUUAUGGCUAUAGUUAUU
rfam:Oryza glumipatula chromosome 4, whole genome shotgun sequence.